AAACGCUUGAAGUCAGUCGCGACGUUCGGGACUCAGCCUUGCUUCUGCUUGGUGUACUUCCUGUUCGUUGGGUCAGCAUCAGUUUUGGUCGGUGGAAAAAGGUGUGGAGAACGUGGCAUCUUCGGGUGUGUUAUAGCCUCUUGUUGUAUACAUUGGUUGGGACUGAGGAAUUCAGCACGCCGCAAGGCCGGGUUUUUAACCACGUUCGUGCUUAGGAUGCUGGCAUAAUGGCUUUAAUCGA
rnacentral:rRNA from 1 species